CGUUCCAUUCUGGUGAGAUAUCUAGGUCUCCCUGGGAGUGAUGGCACCUAGAGGCCUGCUUGAGGCCCGCUUAUUGCAAAUGCCACCCUUCCUAACUUACCAAAGUGGAGGGGCAACAAGGAGGACAUUCAGUAGGGUUUCCUUUUUCCUCUGAAUGUUGCCACAUCUGCACAGCAGGACACACAGAUGCCUGAAACCAUGGAAAAGGAGUUCAUCGUGUCUCCAGAUACUGCUGUGCAUGUGUCUUUAACGUACUAUAAUAUCUAAAGACAAUGGGGAACAUUUCCCACAAUUCCCAGCAUUAGUACACUGUGAGCAUGAACAACAAUGUUAAAGGCAUGAGGCCCUACUGAGCUGUUUCCUGGAAACUAUCUACCUUCUCCCACAAACACUUUGAUUACAUCAAGAUGCUUUCACUUAGAUAUCUUACAAGCAACAAUGAGAUUUUUCAGUGCCUUUGAGAACAUCUACACUUUUGUAAUGCCACACAAAGGAAUGCAUCGAACAAAAGAAAAAAUGAAAUUUCCAAGCACUGUAAAGAAAACACAUCUGAUAUAUCCAGUGAUGUACACACACUACCCGCUAAAGCAUCUGAAAGCAUAAGCAACAGCUCCAAUCUCCUGGGAUACUACUGGUGUGAUAAGCCAGCCAACUGCAUGAACUGAGGAGGGGCAGGAGAGCGGAACAAGGUCAGAGAUGAAAAUAACAAGCAACUACUGAGAACUUGGGGCAGUGCGGCAGAAUGGGAUGAUGGAGAAGAGCAAAACUGAGUUCGUGGGUGAGAUGAGGUGAAACUGGGGACUCCAUGGCUCUCAGCUCAUUCUCUUAACCAUCACUAUGUAUACUAGCUUUUGAGUAAACUUUUAAAUAAUUGAA